rnacentral:rRNA from 1 species
UACGGGGGGGGCAAGCGUUGUUCGGAAUUACUGGGCGUAAAGGGCUCGUAGGUGGCCAACUAAGUCAGACGUGAAAUCCCUCGGCUUAACCGGGGAACUGCGUCUGAUACUGGAUGGCUUGAGAUUGGGAGAGGGAUGCGGAAUUCCAGGUGUAGCGGUGAAAUGCGUAGAUAUCUGGAGGAACACCGGUGGCGAAGGCGGAUCUCUGGGCCGUAACUGACGCUGAGGAGCGAAAGCAUGGGGAGCGAACAGG